rnacentral:lncRNA from 1 species
GCCAUGAGCCACAUAUCAUCUCAAAUUUCUGCCCGUCAAGCCUUGUGACGAAACGGAAUCGGACUUCUUCAAGGCGCGGAUCCUAAAGUUGUUUGGAUCGCAGAGUGACGCGGAAACCCAGUGACAGUAAGCGGGUGCUAGUACCUCCGACGAGAUGAGUGACUGCCCGGGAGGGCUGGAGGAAGCUUGUAUGAGACAGCUCAGCAAAGUCUGCGGAUCUGGUUAUGCUUCCUGUACGAGACAGAUCACGAAGCGGUUGCUGACUGACCAGUUGGGGCGAAAAUGUUUGUGGGAAGGACGUAAGAGAAAGUUGACAUUCAGGAACCUUCACCUUGCUGAGUGCAUCAUAAAUGCAGUGCAGAGCUGCCAUAAAUGUGAAGACUUCAAGGUAGAAACCAUGGUCACGGAUUAACUUCGCCACGCACCUGCCUGACAUCAGUCAUCUCAAAUGGAACAUUCUGCACCACAGGAGAGAGAGAUGUGAACUGCCUU